CCCGUCUCCAUGGGAACGCUCUGAGUGUCCUGUCCGAGGCCUGAGGCUUUGGUUUUGGUCAAGCAGGGUGGCAGACGUUGUUUGGACGGAGUGUUUGAGUUGGUCCCUGUUCCUCUCCAGAGGCUCCGUAAGUGACGCGGACUCUCGGGAGCACCAAACCAGAAGCAGACAAGGACGAGAAGAGCUGUGGCAGAAGAGAGGGCCAGGUGUCGAGAAGCCGCUCAGGCUUAGAAAUCUCGGACUCCAGUGUAGGGACCUGUGAUCAGCAAGGGAGGACCAGAGUGGCAAAGACUAAUGCCCCCAUUUUACAGGAAAAUUUUGAUGCUCAGAGAGGUUAAAUUACAUGGAAAGCAUCUGUAUUCCUGGAGAGACUAAACUUUGAGAUCAAGUUCUAUGUUUUCAUGCCCAGGCUAGAACUGUACUUUUCUAGAUGUUCAGAAAUGAGGUC
rnacentral:lncRNA from 1 species